GACGAACCGUCCUAACGUUGUUCGGAAUUACUGGGCGUAAAGCGCGCGUAGGCGGACCUGCAAGUCGGGGGUGAAAGCCCGAGGCUCAACCUCGGAACUGCCUUCGAUACUGCGGGUCUCGAGUCCGGGAGAGGUGAGUGGAAUUCCUAGUGUAGAGGUGAAAUUCGUAGAUAUUAGGAAGAACACCAGUGGCGAAGGCGGCUCACUGGCCCGGUACUGACGCUGAGGCGGCGAAAGCGUGGGGAGCAAACAGGG
rnacentral:rRNA from 1 species